rnacentral:rRNA from 1 species
UACGGAGGGUGCAAGCGUUGUCCGGAUUUAUUGGGUUUAAAGGGUGCGUAGGCGGUCUUUUAAGUCAGUGGUGAAAUCCUCCAGCUUAACUGGAGAACUGCCAUUGAUACUGGGAGACUUGAGUACAGACGAGGUAGGCGGAAUUGACAGUGUAGCGGUGAAAUGCAUAGAUAUUGUCAAGAACACCGAUUGCGAAGGCAGCUUACUAGACUGUAACUGACGCUGAGGCACGAAAAGUGUGGGGAUCAAACAGG